AUAUUUGGUUUGCAGCACAAAUACUAAAAUUAGAACAAUACAGAGAUGAUUUGCAUGCCUCCGAUGCAAGGAUGAUAUGCAAAAAAAUAAUAAUAGCAUGAGAAAU